GGGUAGUCUGGCUGCCACAUCUGUCAUCCAUUGAGCCUCCAGAGUUGAUUCUGGUCAUCUAACUUGCUAAGUGGGGGUCCCUUUUUUUUUCCCCUUCAACUGUCCAUCUGUAUCCAUUGCAAAGCUCAGUCAAAAAGGAUGACCUUCCAAUAUAGAGGAGAAUCAUCUUCAGUCAAGAGAAUUGUUGAAUUCCCUGGGUAUAAUUACAAAAUUAGCUCUGCUGGGAGGUGGGGUUAAAUCAUUUCCU
rnacentral:sRNA from 1 species